rnacentral:rRNA from 1 species
CCUACGGGAGGCAGCAGUAAGGAAUAUUGGUCAAUGGACGAAAGUCUGAACCAGCCAUGCCGCGUGAAGGAUGAAGGCCCUCUGGGUUGUAAACUUCUUUUAUCUGGGACGAAAAAAGCUCAUUCUUGAGCACUUGACGGUACCAGAGGAAUAAGCACCGGCUAACUCCGUGCCAGCAGCCGCGGUAAUACGGAGGGUGCAAGCGUUAUCCGGAUUCACUGGGUUUAAAGGGUGCGUAGGUGGGUCUGUAAGUCAGUGGUGAAAUCUCCGAGCUUAACUCGGAAACUGCCAUUGAUACUAUAGGUCUUGAAUCAUCUGGAGGUAAGCGGAAUAUGUCAUGUAGCGGUGAAAUGCUUAGAUAUGACAUAGAACACCAAUUGCGAAGGCAGCUUACUACGGGUGUAUUGACACUGAGGCACGAAAGCGUGGGGAUCAAACAGGAUUAGAUACCCUGGUAGUCCACGCCCUAAACGAUGGAUACUCGACAUCAGCGAUACACUGUUGGUGUCUGAGCGAAAGCAUUAAGUAUCCCACCUGGGAAGUACGACCCGCAAGGUUGAAACUCAAAUGAAAUUGACCGGNGUGAGACGUAGACGACGGACGACGACGAGGGGAGGAGG